UCUAGAUGCUCCCAUUCCUGUAUGUGUGCCCCUCUCCCUUGCCAUUGCUAAUGCCUCAACUUGUCUCGCCGCCGCCGCCACGACGGCGAGCUCUGCAUCAGAUCGACCAUGGACGGUGAGGCCUAAGAACCCCACUAAUGGCGGAGGAAGCUGCAACCCUAGAGGCACCGCCAGUUGACAUGCCCCUGCUGCAGGAAGCCGCCGUCAACGAUGAGACGCGAGCACUCAUCGUCCCCGACGCCGCUGAACUCCCCGCGUGUCCGCCCUCCGCCGUCGAGAUUUUCUCAAUCCAGGACAUGAUCAGUAUGUGUACCGCCAUCCAGACGGGUAGGCUUUCAAUAUCAAAAGGUCAAUAUUGAGCUUCUUAGAGAAAAAAGUUAUAAUGGAUGAUCUUUUGGUGAACUUUGCAUUUUCACAACAUGGAUCUAAGGCCGACAAUAAUUCACUAUGGCGUGUGUCUCCUCAAAGGGGAUUGUCUCUCAGUAGUAAGUAAGGAUGCCAAAUGUGUACUUUAAUACAUAAUUGUGUUAUUGCUUUUAUCUACAAACAAAUUAUCUGUUCUUGUGUUAGGUACUUAUUUUCUGUUGUAACUCUAGUUGAAAAAUGUCAACACCUUCUUGUUUUCUUAUUUAGUGCAUAUUGAGAUUUCUAAUGAGCCUUAACUUCUAUUCUUAUAGUUGCUUCCUUUUUCUUAUGACUUAGAUUGUGUGUGGUUGGUUUAGCUCCAACCCAUGCUGCUUUAAAGAGGAAGUAGGAAUAACUGGGCAAGUCACAUCACAGGGAGAUGAAAGUAACUGGGAAACGCAAAAGGGUAACUGGAUUGUUUGAGUCAUGUUUCCUGGUUAUAUAAAUGGCAGCAUGAAUUGAUAUGUUGAUUCUACAUUGCACAAUGCACAACAUUUGCAAGAAAAUUCAGCAUUAUGCAAAGUUUGUGCAAAUGAUGAAUCCUUUGUUGUGAGUUAGGCUGACAGAUAAGGAUAUAUAGCAAUCUUCCAGACAAAACCAGCUGACUGGCUCAAAGUUAAGGAUAAAUUUCUUAGUUAGGAGGACUACAAGAACUUGAGACUGAGACCCAAAAGCUUGAUACAAGUUUCCAUCAGCUCCACCUACUGUUACUCAAUACUUCUCAGCCAACCAAACUGCAAUGCAAACAUGGAGAUUGGAACUAUGUGAACCUCGAAUUGAAGGAGUAUCUAUUUUGGGCUCAUAAGUUGUACAACAUAUCAGUCGAUGAACGAAUGCGAGCUCAUUUGAUGCAAGGGCACUAAUGA